AUGGACUGAUUUUAAAAGCAACUAGGCCACAUCUUGAAUGCCUUGUUGCUUAGAAAUUUCUUCUACCAGAUACUCUAAAUCAUCACUCUCAAGUUCUAAG